GAACGGCACCACGAAGGUUAUACUGUCUCCUUUUCCCAAUCAGUGAAACUAAUUUUCCCGUGAAGAAGCGGGAAUAAAAAUAUAAGACGAGAAGACCCUAUGGAGCUUUAAACAACGCAGCAACUGCUACUAGUCUGAAAGACCUCAGAGUCUCUAACUACCUUGGCACUUUGACAGCAAGUUUUAGGUUGGGGUGACCGCGGAGUAUAAUAUAACCUCCACGCUGAAAGAAUCCUAUUCUUAGCCAAGAGCUACUACCCUAAGCACCAGCAUACUGACAUCUAUUGACCCA
rnacentral:rRNA from 1 species